UACCAUAAUUUAUGUAUGACACCAACCACAUGGUUCUGGGUUCACACUGAACUGUUCGCCUAGAGAGAGAGAGAUGGCCUGCGUUGCUCGACUGCCUUCAACACUGCCCUUAGAAAAGCGCCAAAAGUGGUAUUUUUUUCAUUGGAAACAAGAAGAGCAUUUGAGAAAACCAUGACAUGCUACAGUCUCACGCUGACUAGUGAAUUUGUAGACGGAUCACGUGAAACUAUGGUGUUUUACUGGUGGUGUCUCAUUCAGUAUCAAGCGGAUAUGUUUCGAAUCACCUUUACAAGUGUAAUGGAAUAAAUCAACCACAGCAUUUGACCGAUACAUAUUGUACCUUUACUAGAAGGAUCAGUUAAAGAGUUCUAAUGGUGAUUCGGGAAAUUACGAAAUCUUGUAAACUAUCAUCACAAUAAUAUAUCCGUCAGUAAACUUAUACAUAUAUAUAUAUACCUAAAUGUGCGAGCUUUUGCGUGUGUGUAUGUAGAUAUGGGUAAAAGAAAAUCCAAUGAGACUCAAUUUAACACUUUGUUAAACCGGAAAAGCAUAAACCGCAAAACUUUUGUGAAAAAUAUCAUUCUGUAAGUAAAAAGUACUAACACCUUCAGUAAAACGUUUUUAUGCGAAAACAUAA